rnacentral:rRNA from 1 species
CCUACGGGAGGCAGCAGUGAGGAAUAUUGGUCAAUGGGCGGAAGCCUGAACCAGCCAAGUAGCGUGCAGGAUGACGGCCCUACGGGUUGUAAACUGCUUUUAUACGGGAAUAACGCGCCUUACGUGUAGGGCUUUGCAUGUACCGUAUGAAUAAGGACCGGCUAAUUCCGUGCCAGCAGCCGCGGUAAUACGGAAGGUCCGGGCGUUAUCCGGAUUUAUUGGGUUUAAAGGGAGCGUAGGCCGCAUGUCAAGCGUGCUGUGAAAUGUCCGGGCUCAACCCGGGCCGUGCAGCGCGAACUGGCGUGCUUGAGACCGCGGAAGGCAGGCGGAAUUCGUCGUGUAGCGGUGAAAUGCUUAGAUAUGACGAAGAACCCCGAUUGCGAAGGCAGCAUGCUGCAGCGGAACUGACGCUGAUGCUCGAAAGCGCGGGUAUCGAACAGGAUUAGAUACCCCAGUAGUC